rnacentral:rRNA from 1 species
AAAGGGGCUUCGGCUCCGAGUAAAGUGGCGCACGGGUGAGUAACACGUAGGUAACCUGCCUCUAAGAUUGGGAUAACUUGUCGAAAGAUGAGCUAAUACCAAAUAAGACCACGGUCUCCUCGGGGACAGAGGUCAAAGGUAGCCUCUAUUUAUAAGCUAUCGCUGAGAGAUGGGCCUGCGUACCAUUAGCUAGUUGGUGAGGUAACGGCUCACCAAGGCAAAGAUGGUUAGCUGGUCUGAGAGGAUGAUCAGCCACGCUGGAACUGAGACACGGUCCAGACUCCUACGGGAGGCAGCAGUGGGGAAUAUUGCGCAAUGGGCGAAAGCCUGACGCAGCAACGCCGCGUGAGUGAUGAAGGCCUUCGGG